ACAAUUGAAAAAAGGAACUAUAAACCCUAUAAACAACAAUUAGAAUUCUCACUAUUAAAGAAGAAGUAAUCAACUACAAAGACUACCAUCAAAAUGGUUAGAUAUCAAGAUAUAUAAUCGAAGAACUAUGAAACUCGUUAGUUUAUGAGGGGUCAUAGAAUGACAUAGAAUAAAAGAUCCAUCUUUCGAGAAGAAACCAAUGAAAGUAUAUUGCAACUAUUGGGUCUAAUUAUGAUUUGGGCCUCUAUUUAAUCCAAGAAUUAAAGGAUACUUGGAGGAGGUGAAAUCACGUUGGUUUCUUUGCAGCCUUACACGCAUGAGGAUGAGGGUGUCUAACUCUACACGAUGAAGAAAAGAAAUAUGGAAAAGAAAGAGGAAAAUGAUGCACACAUACAUAGCAAUAUGAAUAAGGGAGAUGAGAAGAGAUGCUACACAAUUUUACGUGGUUCAGCAAAAUGAAGCCUACAUCCACGGGAAGGAACCCUUUCUUAAUUUUGAAGAUGAGUACACAGAAAACUCUCUUUAUCACUCUUAUUUUUCUUGUAAAUGAAAGUUAUGUCUAAAGACUAAUUUGUUAGAAAGCACCUUUACAUAUUUAUAGGUGGUUAAAAGCAUGAGUUAGUUAAGAGAAAAAACUAUGUAGACUUGAUUCUGUUGGAAUUCCUUUAUUUUUACAAUCUCCACAUUGAAUCCAACUUGAAAUGUGUUAAGGAUCCUUCCAUCCUA